ACUCGACUAAAGAGUCGGAGUCGGAGUCAAAUCGAGGAUGUGUAAUAGUUAAAAUUUGAUCCGCGUGUCUAAUUACUUUUGUAUGUUUUUAAAACUAACAAGCCCCAUCAAUACUUGAGGAUGUUAUGCUAUUCGCUACUUGGAACACCCGCUCUGGAGCCAGGACUGGUCCUCACUUUUGACUGCCUCCAUUCGCGCCGCUGUGGGUGCCAUAUCAGCGCGACAUACUUCAGAAUUUGAAAAAUCAAUGCAAGGCUCUGAGACAAAUAUUAUUUUUACCGACAUCGGAUCCCCUUGAUGUCGAUGUGGUACUGAGUCUACCCAAACAUGUCAUUUCAGUCGAUUUUAACGGAGAUUAUUUCCAUCGCAGUCGAACAUUGGCGAGUCAUUUACUUUUACAGUCCUUAGGAGAGGAAGAAUCUUCAAGCUGGUUGAUUGAGGCUGAAUCAGUUCUAAGGUCUAUGUUGACACUAAGGCAGAAAAUUCCUGAUUACAUUUUUGACAACAAAUAUCAGUCCAUUACAGAGUUGCAUCUAAGCACUGUCAAGGUUUCUGUCUCAGAUAUUCAAAAAUUAUUUACGUCCUUCCCGAAGCUCAAAUAUUUACGUCACUAUCAGUUGACAGCCGCGCUGUACGAACUGCAUGUUGAAGAUUGGAAACAAAAUCUUCCAUUGCCUGUUUAUAAAUUGAAAAUUUAGAUGCGGACUUUUCCUAUGUGGUAAGCGGCAUUUGUGUGUCUGAUAUGGUAAUUUCCGCAAGGUAUGCCGAAUGAGAUAUCAUACAUUUUGUUGUCACCUACCUGAUUCUUGUGGCAUUGAUUUAUUUUUCGGCUUUGGAAAUGAGAGUUGCAUCAUUUCAUCAUCCAAGUCAAGCAAGUCAGAAGCUGUUUCUUGUCGACCGGUAGACGUUGAUAACAAAUGGUGCGACGUUUGCAUUGAUUUGACUCUUGGUUUUUAGAACGAGGUUGGAAUUAUUUCAUCCUUUUGAGUUAUAUUGAGAAUGAUUCUGCCAGCUUGAAUGCAAUGAUGUCAAACAUCAUGUUUCUAUUUUUUCAUUUUUUUUUCUACCAGCGUUUAAUCUUAGACUUUUAGUUUCGGUUCGCUUCCCUACAUUUUCCAUGCUUUAGAUCUCGCGGAUUUUGACACCGGCUGCUGUUAAGUACAUAAAACGCAUGUGAGUUAUACUAUUGCCUGUAGGUGAACGGCGUCUUUUUCUUACGUAGUUUUCUGAGAUAAUUCGAUUUCUACAUCAGUUUUUUAGCUCCCUUAUCUUAGGUUAACUGCCUGUCUGGCAUUUUUUUUGUAUAAAAUCAGAGAGUUGUCCUCCAAAAUUCUCUGCACAGGAUUCCUGCUGUCCUGCCUUAGAGUUUCACUGCGUGAGGCCAUCAGAUCUAAGAAUUGACAAAUCCUCGAUCUCUAGGAUAGGUACGGCCUCUCAGUCAAAAAAUGGGAGAGUCAGAACUAUUCUACAAACAACCAAUGUGAAAGAACUUGAAAUGUUUUGUCUUCGGUGUAGAUUCUCAUCGAACCUAGGUAACUCCGAUUCUACAAGUCUUUUUCAAGAGAGGUUGGUAAAAUCUGAAGUCUAUAAAUAUAUAAAUGCAAUUAACGAUUCCAGCUGGCUUUGCGUAGGUUCUGCUAUGAGUUAACAGUUGCGUUGAGGAACGAAGUGCAACGUCGACCUCGCAUUCGAGGUACAUUAACGUCUUUUUUUUUUUUUUUUUUUUUUUUUUUUUUUUUUUUAUAUCUUAACGUCACUUGGCAAUGCGUUUCGCUUAAUAGGUUGCCUACCUCUUCUGGUAACUACGCCUUCUUGGCUGCUGCUCCCAGGGACGUGAUGUAAAGAUUCACUACCAAUGGUCUUGUGAUCAGGUCGGCUUGAAGGUGCCGAGGAAGUCUGGGUUCCAGCCUUCUCUUCAUAACGUGCCGGAUAUCCUGACUCAGAAAUGAAGCGGACUUCCUCUUCGUCGCUAACCAUAGGUGAUGAUGGUUCAUGAUCGUCUUCGAGCUGAGCGGAUAGAGGUUUUCUCGACAGACGCGCAAAUGCAAUAGAGAGUUCGACAGGUAUAAGAGCAAUGUCGUAUCGUUCCAUGCCAUCAACAUACAGGGUUAUCCAAAAGUCACUGACCACCCCUGUAACUUUUUUCCAAAUUGAGAUAGAAGUUUGAAACUUUGGGAAUGUUCCUCGGUGUGAAGUAGCACUUUUUGGUCCCCCAAAACUUUGGGGGGCGGCCCCCCUAAGGGGGGCGGGGGCUAAAUUUUUUUUUCAAAUGGCAACCCCCCCUUUGUGAUACCUCAUUCGAAAGAUAAUAAAAAAGAAAAUUGUU
rnacentral:lncRNA from 1 species